rnacentral:ncRNA from 1 species
GGUCAAGCUACAAAGAGCGUAAGGGGAAUGCCUUGGCACCAGGAGCCGACGAAGGACGCAGCGAUCUGCGAAAAGCCACGGGGAGCCGAAAGCAGGCUUUGAUCCGUGGAUAUCCGAAUGGGGAAACCCGCAUGGUUAAUAGCCAUGCGACGUAUACUGAAUAAAUAGGUAUGCGUCGGGAACCGUC